UGGAGGCUGCCUGAACAGGGUGUCCCCAAGCCAAGUGGUCUAGACUCUGUAAGCUCCCCAGAUGGACACAGGCCCUGGGGUGAGAGACUGGGUGUUAAAGCUAGGGACCAUACACGUGGGCAGGGCUGGGCACUGCUGUCUGUAGGCUGUAUGUGUGUCAUUGCCACCCACAGCCACUGCUUUCCUUUGUGUCCUCUCUGGUCUGUAAACAAGUGAUUCUCCCUCAGGACCUUUGGCACUCAGGGAAUGAGUCACUUUUCAGUCCAUGGUUUGGAGGUACCAGAUGUCUCUGGAACUUUCCAGGUUGGCUUUCACUCCGGGUAUACUUGGAGCUUUGGGAUCUGCCACAUGGAUGGAUCCAUGGACUCUAGCUCAACUUAGCCCUUUGGAAAUGGGUGUCCCAGUGGAGUCUUCUAUUCCUCAGAGACAUGUGUUACAUAUAAUUAUGUGUGCCCUUGAAGACAUGAUGUCCUUGCUUUUAGUAUUGUUUUUGCUGAUGUGUUUUCCACUAGUUUUCCCUUUCCUUCUUAAAGGACCCAUGCUUUAUUUAUUUUGCUCAAAUUCAUAUGAGAAACACUAGGCUCAGUCCACCCAGUGCCUCUCCGCUGCUCCCCAGGGCUCUUGGGACGGGUAUAAAAUCCCCUGGGUGAAGGAGGGACACCCACAGUCUUCUUCCAGAUCUUUCCCAUGGUGCAUCACUCUCCCACAGGCAGGGGAGGAAGUCAGGGGAGCGUGAGGUAAUCGAGCUUGCACACAAUUUAUUAACUCUGACUUGUAAAUUAAAACAUCCAGUGGUACAAAUUAGGGCUGAAUAGAGAGCAAAUGAGACUCUGCCUCUUCUCCUCUGGCCUGGAGUGGAGCUUCAGCAUGUCCAAGAUAAUGUGGGAACCUUCACAGGACUGUGCAUGUGCUGCAGGAUUUGCUGGCAUCCCGGCUCUGAGUCUCAUGAGAGGAGACCAUGAGGUCCACAGGGCUGCCUGUCUGGAAACGCUGGGACUCUGGCUACACUUCAUCCCAGAGAGGGUAGGCUGAAGAGAGAUGCCCCUGACCCCCUGGUCCUCCAUUCUCUUUUCCCUCCAAGAAUCAGCUCGCACUUUGGCCUGGAGGACUGCUUCUGCAUGCUCACUGGCUACUUGUGAAGUCUUGUUCCAGACGGCUGGGGCCUUGGACCAGGUGCAUUUGUGUCUGGCAUAUCUCGAAGUCUGAGUAGUUGCUGGCUCCAGCGUGGAGUGGCAAAGCAGGAGGCCAGGACUCUAUUAGCAGGCAGGCGCUCUGGAGCAGAGAUGGUAUCUCUAUCAAGCUCCCCUGGGGUCCCCUCGCCUGCUGCCCUUGAUGAGUUUAAAUCACACCAAUCAAUUCUGGCCCCAGAGGCCCCAGAGGGAGGCCAUGGCAGAGCAGCAAUCGCUCCCUUGACCUGGACCAUGGCUGUCAGGGCUCUGUUAACUCGGGACAUCGGACUUGACUUUGCAUCAGGCGACCGCUCGUCUGGGUUAGCUUUCCUUCUCGAUAAUUGGUGGGGUCAGCGGAGUGGGGAACAUCACCCCUGCUGUACUCCAUUUUCUUCGCUUGCCCCUUUCUCCCUUGCUGGCUUCUAGAGCCCACACACUUGAGCUCUGGUCUUAUCACACAGUCUUAAUAUUCCACAGGUGGAAGGAUUCAGGCUUGGUGACAUGGGGAGCAAGCUUGAACACAGGUCUCUACAUACAGCCAACACUGAGCCCUGUUGUAUGCUACUGAUAGCUCCUGAAUAGUCUUAGGAACACUGUCUGGGGAAGGGGGAGGGGGAGGAGCCAUAAUAAAAUGUGAUCUCUAAUUGCAGAGUGACAGGAGCACAAUGAGAGCUGAGAGAGGUUGGUGCUGGCUGCAGAGGCUGGCAGGCCAGGCGAGUCAGACACUGAAGGGGAGGGUUCUGGGUGGUACAGUAACUACCUGCUUUCUCCCAUACCUGCAGGGACUACCCAGGAUGCUCUGCUCUUUAGGCCACCUUCUUAUGUCUGCCUAUAUAGUCUUUGUUGUCAUGCAGCUUGUUGACCUCCACCCUCUAGUUACAGUUAGGAAAAAGGCCAUGUCUGGUGGCUGGAGCCACCUCUACCAUUCAAUCACUCUGUGGGAUGCUUAAUGCGUACUCCCUCCUGCCUUGGCUCACUAUUUAGAUGGUUCAACUGGGUCUCUGAGGUUCCUUGAACAUGGCCUCAGCCUUAUAUGUAGUUUUCUGAUGGAGCAGAGACCUGUAACCACCAUGCACUCUGUGUAUUCUGUGUCAAGGGCAUCAGUGGACUGUUGGUUUCCAUAAAAGGAACAGACACUGCGAUGUUAGGCCUGUAGCAGAUGGACCACAGGGACCCACCACCAUUAUCACAAAAGGGUCUGAAUGGAGUUAUGUUUCUCCAGAAGGCUGAGUAUUUAGUGGUGGUGGGAGUAGAGGAUAGGGGUGGAGCUGAAGAUGACUGGUGCUGAAACCAGCUGGAGCUGGUUAUGGCUGCAGCUGGCUGGAGCUGGUUGGGCCUGGCUGGGACUGGCUGGAGCUGGCUGGGACCGACUGGAGCUGGCUGGAGCUGGAUGGAGCUGGCUAGAGUUGGAGCUAGAGCUGGUUGGAGCCGGCUGAAGCUGGCUGGAGCUGGCUGAAGCUGGCUGGAGCUGGUUGGAGCCGGCUGAAGCUGGCUGGAGCUGGCUGAAGCUGGCUGGAGCUGGUUGGAGCUGGCUGAAGCUGGCUGGAGCUGGCUGAAGCUGGCUGGAGCUGGUUGGAGCUGGCUGAAGCUGGCUGGAGCUGGCUGGAGAUGGCUGAAGCUGGCUGAAGCUGGUUGGAGCUGGUUGGAGCUAGCUGGGGCUGGCUGGAGCUGGUUGGAGCUAGCUGGGGCUGGAGCUAGAGCUAGAGCUGGCUGGAGCUGCCUAAUGCUGGAGUUGGCCUGGGCCAUUGCAGCAGAGGCUGGUUAAACACCUGAGAGAUUUAAUAACUGCCAAUGUCCACCCAUUAGCUGGAAACAGGAGAUGAUGGGGCCCUGCCCUGUUAAUCCCAAAGAAGCUUCAUAAUACAUCUCUACUCUCUACAGAGAGAGUCUCUGUCUUGAUAUCCUCUACACACCAAUGUAGUGUCUGAGAAGUUAGUGUCUUGUAGUUAGGUCUCCUGAUCAUGUUGGCCUUGGUCAUAUCAUCUGCCUGUAGCAGCCCUUGGAGGGAGAACAGAUGGGAGCAAUCUUGUCAUUGGUGAAUAGUAGAUGUGGGCUUGGGCCUUUAGCCAGGUCUUACCCAGUGGCUUGGUACUUAGGGAUGUGAUAACAUGCCAAACAGAGGUCGUCACACCGACCAUCCCUCCCAUUUCCAGUGGUCUGUUUGGUGGCUCACACGACCUGGCUUUGAGUCCAUUCUUCCACUCGGAGUCCUGGCUCAACUGGAGCUUGUCCGGGGUAGCCAGCCUUGUAGCAGUCUCAGCCCAUCUCCUACCUCAGGCAGCUUGGCUAUCUGUGUGCUUUUCAUAUAGGAGCUGUCUCUCCUUAGCUGCUAGAGCCAUUGGGGAUGUGACCUGCAUCUGCUUUUGCUCUUUACAAUGUCUCCAGCUUUGAAGCCCGGGCCAAGCACUUAGAGGCUUCUCGGCAUGCUGAUGGAGUCCAGAGUGACUGUGCCUGUCUGGAAUCCAUAGUGACCCUGUGACUGUCAUGGCUGGUAUGAGGCACUGGAUACUGUGUCUAUGUCGUGUCUGUCAUCACGUGCGGUCAGCUCUCCCCCUGUGUGACGUCACUGUCAUCUUGUGUGUGGUCACAUCUUCCCCUAUGACAUCACAUCACUUAACCAUUGUCAUGAGUGACUUACUCUCAUACGUCUUCUGUGUUGAUACCCUAUGUGUUCCCAGGGAGGGCUUUGGCUCGGGUCACUGCGCCUGGCAUUUUCCCAUCAUGACUAGUUUAUAUUCUCACCCCGAGGUUUAGCAAAAAAAAAAAUAUUGAAUCAAUUGUUUUUAAUUAUGUCCAUCUUGUAUCGUUUAGGUUACAGGCACCGUUCAAUACUGCUUUACAGCCCAGCAGCCAUGGGAACAUUGUUCAAUAUCCCGAUAUGGAAUACCAGAGUUUUCUUUCUGUUUAACUCAUAAACUAGUUUAAAAAGUGCCAUAUUUUUCUGCUUCGAUUGCUGUCCUCCCCCCUUUACAGCUCUGCACAUUGCACUGGCUGCAGAACAGGGCUUUGAAAAAUGCUAAUGACGGUGUUUAGUUUACUACCCAAGGGCUGUCUGAACAACAGUGGCCAGCCAGUGGGAGGGGUGACCCAGAGCCCCGGGCAUGUGGGCAGGAAAGCAAGAGGGCCUUCUCCAGCCUCCUCUGGUCACUUGGGGAGCCUCUGUGAGCUCACUGCUGUUGGUCUCUUGUGGGAAAGAGCAGGCAAAGGGAGCUGGACAUGAACACCCAACUCUCUUCUAAACAAGGUGUGGGCCAGCACGAACAGUGGGACAAGAAGGGACACAGGCCAGUUUAGACUUUUUUUUCCCUGGCUGGCUGAUCCCAUUUCUCACAAUUUAUAAAAUGAGCCAAAUCAGCUGAACUCGUAGGGUUUGGUGGGUGGGAAGAAGUGAACACCAAUCAGUUUCCUACUUUGUGGGUAUCUGCUUGGAGCCUCAGAGGACAUCAGCAGACGAUCAGAACCACCAGGUGCCGUGAAGACUCUGAGGUCCCACCUCAAGGUUUCUGAAAAGGAAAAAAACACCUGAAAGGAACAACGUGAAGGAAGAAGGCUUUAUUCUAGCUCACUUUUCAGAGAUGUCAAUCCAUUUUUGGCCAA